UAUUCAAAUCACUACACAGUUACCAAAAGUUUUCAUCUCGUCUGCUUGAGAUGUCCUUCCCCUCAAAGACCCUCUCUGCAAUUUUCCUCUUUGGUGCUCUGGGGUUAAAAAAUUGCAGAGAGAAAAGUAUGGCAAUAAAUUAAUGGCGUGAUGGUUCAAACUUGAAUCCUAUGGCUGUGUGUUCUAUUUCGGGUUAUUGGAAAUUCUUCUUCCUUUUUUACUAUUCACUACACUGAAGAAAAACGGUUGUAUAAGCAUUUCUUUUUUUCCUCCUUUCUAGUCUUACAACUUCUCCAUCUGAUAUCUACCUCUCUCUCUCUCUCUCUCUCUCUCUCUCUCUCUCUCUCUCUCUCUCUCUCUCUCUCUCUCUCUCUUCUCCCUGAAUCACCAUUCUUUUCUUGUGAGGAAAAAAGAACACGUUUCAAAGAAAAGGGAAGAAGAGUAGUUUGCAGAUUAUCAAAUCUUCUUUUUUUUUGUUUUUUUUGGUAAUUCGGAAAUUUACCAGAUUUUGAAACCCUUUGAAUCCACCGUAGAAUUGGAUUAUGUUUUAGUGUAACUCGAUUCCCCAUUCUGCCAUUAAAAAACAGUCCCAAUAUUUUUUUUUUCAUCUUUGCGUGUCCAUCUGUUAAGUCAAAAACAGAUAAAAUGUCUAAUCGCCCAGAUCCCAGGUUUAAUCCCAUGAUGCUGCUACCUUAUGUUCAGCAACCUCGUAUGGAUGGUCAGUUCCUAAUCAACUAUACCUUACACAAAAAACUUGAGCAAUUACCGGGCUACGAAACUCCCCAUGUCUCAGAGAUUUUCGAUGGUAAAAAUGAGGUCGUUGGGCUUGAUCGAGACGUUCAACAAAUUAUGAAGAAAAUUUUGAAAGGAUUGCAGGGGUUACAUGGAGUCGGUUGGUGCCAUGGAAACCUGCUAAAUGGUUAUUGGUUCAACACCGACCAUGAUUUGAAUGCUGAAGUUCGGUUUAUGAACUUUGGAGGUGCUGAUGACUUAGCGGCCGGAAUCAAAAAAAAUAUGAAAGACUUCAAAGACCUGCUUGGUUGGGUGAUAGAAGCUAACACAGCUUAUAUGUAUAACUCGGUGGCCCAGCUCCCUUUUUGGCCGCCAACUGAUGUUCAUGGAUUUGGGAAACAUGUUACUGAGCUUAUCCAUGAAAUGGAUCUUGAGACAUUGAGAAUCUAUGUGAGGAGACUGAGGGCGAUGACGUAAAAGUGAUUUGUGAAGAACUCUAGAAGCUUUUUCAAGGUUUUGUUGGCAUAUUAUACACUGAAUACGCGGCAUUUAAUACCACCAAUGUACGACCAUGGAUGAGAAGCAAUGAUUAGCUAUUGGAGAGUGGCAUAUAUGCAAUAAACUGAACUGGUGAGGUCUGUGAGUAUAUUGAAGUUGCUGAGACAAACCCGACGGACUAGUGGACGACGGCAAAACCGUCAAUCUUCUCCGGUCAGCGGAAAGAGACCUUACCAAUGACCACCACUUAGCUAGGGUGCAUACAAUCUGGACUAUUUACAUUUCCAUGGGAAUCUACCUUUUUGU